GUCAGGUUUUACUGCAUCUAGCCAUUAUUCAAGUAGCAAAGUUGCAAGGAGCCGAAGACCCAUGGGACAUGACCAACUCAGCAUUCCACCGGAGGCUAUAUGAUCAAACAGCAAACUGUUUAUCAUGAAUGCAGGAUGUGGGCAAAUUCACAUUGCCCUGCCACCAAAAGGUUUGCUGAAGGACAUCACUCCCUGGUGCCAGGCUCCUUAAAGUUAUCUAUUGAGAAAUCUAGCGCCUAUUGUCCAAAGGAUGCAGUCUCGCAAGCCUGCUGUGAACCAAAUGGCCGACUAUUACCCAACAAUCGCCCCCCUUCUCGCUAUCUCUUUUGCCUAAUAAAUACGGAGGGCUGUGUAAAGCUCAGGCCCCUUGUCCACUAGAGGCAAGGUGCCCCCGACCCCUUCUUCCAAAUAUAUUUUUAUCUCGUCUUUCAUUCCUGUGUUCCCCCUCUUUGUUCAGUCCCCCUAGGUCCAUGCUAGUUACAUAGUGGCACCUGGACAGGGACUGAUAGCUGUAGUAUAUCCUCUGUCCUUUUCCCUAUCUAUAGGAGGAGGCGGCUUAGGCAGGUGAUGUUUUCUUCUCCUUCCUCUUUUUAGGAUCUUCUGUGUGUAACUGAGCCAGGGCUGCUCAAAUUAAAGCCCAUAACAUUAAAGAUUUUACUGGGACCUGAUGCCUUUGCGCCUGAUGUUGUUUAAGGUUUCUCCCCACUUGUUCCCAGAGUUCUAUGUCUAGAAUUCCUUCCUCUGGGAACCAUGGGCUUUGUACUCCAUUAUUGACCACACUAGUUUUUAAUUCCUUCAACAACUUAAAUUCCUGUGGAGUGUGUUCAUGAAUUACCUACUAUGGAUUAUUUGGAUCAGGCCUUAUGGAAACAGGAAAAGCGCAAGGUCCUAAGGGCUCUCCAGCUAUGACAGCAGAGCGUAAAAUUCUUUGUGUUGGGGUUUCUAUUUCUACUACCGAAGGAGGCAGCACCGAUGUUUCUGCAAUUGGAGGAGGCGGUAUAGGCCAAUUUUAAUCCUCCCUCUCCUGUUUUUUAUUUUCAAUUGGUGCUAUGUGUGGGACAACAGAUUCAGAUUUUUAUGAACAGCAACAGAAUAGGGUGCUCUACACAAAGUUGGACAGGUCAUGGAAUGCCAUUAGACGACUUGUCACAAAAGGAAAUCUAUCAAACAACGCAUCCCCUUAAAAGGAUUAUACAGACUGCUAUGCCUCAUCUAACCUUAGAUUUUUGCCUAAAUCAGCAAACAACAAACUCUGCAUGCAAGUCAGAAAAAAAAAAAAAAAGCUGCUCCAAUCCUAUAAGCUUCCUGUGCCUAUAGUUUUAUGCUAAAUUGAUUCUGACAUUUCAGGCAAUUAAAAGUAACUCCAAUUAAUUCACCAUAAUUUUGGCUGAUUGCUAAUCUAAAUGUCCACAAUUGAUAGGCUAGCCCUAUACGUCAAUGAGGUAAGCACAGAAAGGAGUCAUGGUUUUGAGGAAUGCCUAUGGGUUUAUUCUCCACCAUAGCAAUGAGAUGUCAACUGUGAUUGUGCUCCAUAAAAUAUAGAAACUGUAGGUAGUCUAACGCUGCAGAAGAAACUCCUAUUAAUAUAAAGAUAAACCAAUUAAUCUAACCUACUGAACAUCAGUGGUCUGUUAAGGAGUUCCACCAGCGAGGUGAGAGACUGGCAAUUUUUUUCUCUAAAGAGCUAAAUAAUGAAUAUUUUAGGAUUUCCAGCCACGUGGUCUCGCUUACAAUUACUCAACUCUGUCUGCUUCUGUAUGGCAACAGCAGCCACAGACGAUACAGAAAUGAAUGUGUGCGCUGUGUUCUAAUGCAACUAUGGGCACUAAAAUUUCUUGAUUUUCAUGUGUAACAAAACACUGUUAUUUUGAUUUUUUAAAUCCAUUUACAAAUGUAAAAAUCACCCUUAGCCAGGCGCGG
rnacentral:lncRNA from 1 species